ensembl:lncRNA
CUCCUGGGCACUUGCCUUGCCAUUUGCCCUUGGAAACUGAAGGCUGCUUCAGCUCCAUUUGGGGGUUUUCUGAGCUCUUUCCAAGAGGAUUUCCUUACUGCUGUUUCCUCUCUUCUGUCUUCCAAGAACCCCUGUUUUUCAGAAGUUUAACUCUCCAGGACUAACUCUGAUUUUCCUAUUUUUCUCUCAUAUUUUCCAUCACAUUGUCUAUUUGUGUGUGUGUGUGUGUGUGUGUGUGUGAAGGGGGGUGAAGUAGAAAAGAAUAUCUUUACUUGCUUUGCCAAGGCUGAGGGGCCCCAGAGGGCUAAUGCCCUCAAAGCCGUGUGUCCAGACCUGGAGGGAGUAGUCGUGGCUCAAGGCCUGUGUGAGCAGCUCGGGGACGCCGUGCUGACGGGCUGGUGGUGUGGUGAGUGACAGUCAGCGUCACCAACCUUCCGGCUUCAGCGAGUCUCGGGUCUACGUGCCUGUGGGCAGCAGACACUGAACUUCUGCCGCCUGGCGGGGGUUCAGCAUCUGCGUCUGGACACACUGACUCUCAGGUUCUGAUGUCUCAUGGCAGAAAGAAGUCUGUGAGAGACAAAGUGACAGGGCCCAGGAUCGUGUGAACACAGCUGUCACGGGCGCUGGGAAACCAAGAUCUCCGUGUACCUUGCUUUAUUGCGAUAUCUGCCACAUCUCGGUGGUCUGGAAACCAAGCCACACUGUCUGUCCUGGACUGUGGGACUAUGAAGACUCCCUUUUCAAAAACAAACAAGCAAAAGACACCCGUUGGCCCUCCACUUGCUGGGAACUUGGCUUCUGACAUCUUCAUGUUGAGAAAUACGAGGGCCUCUGCGGCUUCUCCCCAGACGCUCGUCCCUCCCUGGCUCUCCCGCCGCGUUUCUGCAGGUCUGUGUCCCUCCGCACGUGCUGGUUUAGUCGCUCAGUUGUAUCCGAUUCUGCAACCCCCUGGACUGUAGCCCACCGGGCUCCUCUGUCCAUGGGAUUCUCCAGCCAAGAAUAUUGGAGUGGGUUGCCAUGCCCUUCUCUGCAGCCAGAGGGUCUCUCAAACCUGCAGAGCUGGUGCUGGUGGCUCCACUCGAGCGCCCAGAGCUUUCCUCGGUCCCCCGGGUCGAGUCUGAGCUCUGCGCCCAGCUGAGCGGGCCCCAGGAUCUGAAACCAACUGUCUCUCCCUCCAGCCUCCAUGCCCUCUGCUGUCUCUGCUCCAGUCACCCUGACCUUUAUUUACAGACAAACUGCUCUGCACAGGAGAGCACAUGCUGUCUGAAUCCUAGCCCCCGGGUGCCUCCUGUCCUCGCUGGCAGCUGCCUGCCUGCCCCUGUGACGGUGCAGGGACCCUGCCAGCUUUUCCCGGGUCCCCACGCGUCCCUGAGCCGGUCGGGGGGAGGGGAAAGCGGUGCCCCCUCCUCCAGGGCACGGUUGGGGGGAGCGUUCCCACCUCCGCCCCCUCCUGCCCCUGCCCCCGGGUGUGGGGAGAGGCCCCACUGUCCUGUCUCAGGGGGCCCCACCUGGUAUGCACAGAGGUGAGUCAGGGCCAGCCUUGGCCUCCUGGACUCACUUGGGCUUCUUGGAGCCUGCGUUCCACCGGUGCGUGGGCUGCUCCCUGGGGGCCUGGCCUCCACUGCAUUGGCCCGGGGACCCCGUCCACCAGCCCAUUUGGCCGCUGGGUCCCGAAGGGGACGAGGUCCUGGUGGACUGGGGGUGGUUUUUCGGGGCACCUGGCCUUUCUUCCCUGCAAACUCCCCUUCCCCCUUGGAGGCCAAGGUGGAUGGCGGUGCUCUCAGAGUAGGCCUGUGUAGGGUCCCAGGGGCCCCAGAAGCCCUCCGAGCCCAGGACUCUGCUGUAGAGGAGGCACCUGGGGCCCUGAACAGGCUCGUUAGACCAGCCGGGCCCCUGGGCCGGAUUUUUUUCUCUA